GGAGGGAAGCUCGUGGGUGGGGCCGUGAGCUGAGUGGGUUUAGUCACUCUACCCCAUGGCUCAUGGGAAGGUGUGAGACUAGGGCCAAAAUCGGCCCCAACAGGGCCCUCCUUGAGCUUCAGGGAGGUGAGUUCCCGGGGCGGGGGGGGGUGAAGAUCAGAGUUUGCUAAACAGGGCUCCUCUCAAGGAACCCAGCUCACUGAGUCUACAGGCAUCAGCUGGCCACUGUUGCUUUGCUCUACAGGAGUCAGGUCUUCGGGAACCAGCACAAAUGUUGUUACUCUGGCUGCUGCUAUUGCUGUGAUUAAUAAACUGUUCUUUGUCUCU
rnacentral:RNase_P_RNA from 1 species